rnacentral:rRNA from 1 species
AGCAGCCGCGGUAAUUCCAGCUCCAAUAGCGUAUAUUAAAGUUGUUGCAGUUAAAAAGCUCGUAGUUGAAUUUCGGGGUUCUACCGUUGGUCAGGCUAUUGUCUGUACUGGUGUGUAGAAUUUCUACCUUCUGGGGAACUAUCAUGUUAUUAAUUUAGCGUGGUAGGAAACCAGGACCUUUACCUUGAAAAAAUUAGAGUGUUCAAAGCAGGCUUAUGUCUGAAUACAUUAGCAUGGAAUAAUAAAAUAGGACGGUGGUCCUGUUUUGUUGGUUUCUGAAUCACCGUAAUGAUUAAUAGGGAUAGUUGGGGGCAUUAGUAUUCAAUUGUCAGAGGUGAAAUUCUUGGAUUUAUUGAAGACUAACUACUGCGAAAGCAUUUGCCAAGGAUGUUUUCAUUAAUCAAGAACGAAAGUUAGGGGAUCGAAGACGAUCAGAUACCGUCGUAGUCU